UAUACUUUUCUAUUACGAAAUACUUCUGCGUUGUCUCCCCGAAGGAUUGUACUUUAAUGUGAGUACAAUCCAACACUGAAAUAUAACUUUAAAACGAGCUAUUGCAUAAAAAUGUACUUGUGCUGCACUUAUUUCCCUUUUUGUAGAUGGGAAUUUAAUGUAAUUUCGAGCUAAUGUGGCUAUUGCAGCAGUUGCACUAAGCUAGUGCAGAUGUGCACUAGCUUAGUUUACUCAAAAAAAGUCUCCAGCGGCAGUAAGAUGUGAUCUAGUUGCACAUAACCUCAACGCAAGUAAAAGUUGUCUCAUGGGUUGAAUAGCGUUGUGUCUAAAAAAUCCAUUUAAUGAACAUGUGGCAAUUUCACUAUUAUUAAUUUAUCAUAACUUUCUGUAGUAUGUUGCAGGUCUAUUUCUAUUUCCAGCAGCAACGUUUGAACAGUGUUUUCCAAUAAGCGAAAUUGCAUAAAAAAGCUCAAGGUGUCCAUGAUUUCAAAAUAAUUGACUCGCGGUUUAAAUAUUCGGGGUCUUCUAACAACCGGAAUGUAAUUCUCCUAAUCAGGCGAUGAUGAAACAUCGUCAUACACAAAAUCCAACAUGUGUUUACUUUGAAAAAAUGUUUGAGGUUAUAAUACCACAUACACACCAGCCAUUUUGGGCGGUUAACCACUGAUUAAGUGUCCAUAAUCGUGGUUAAAGUUAUGGUGGAACGCAAAAUGUUCAUUAAAUAGUUUUAAUCAAUGAUUAACAUUUUAAUCGGAGAUGGUGGAACCGGGCCUUAGACGGCUUUCGCGUUGCCACAACAAUACCAUUAUCCUUAGAGAUGCCUUUGAUAUAAUCAGAGGAAAAAGUCCAAGUGGAUUAAAUCAGAAGAUUUGGCCGGCUAUUUGUUUGAAUCACCCAAAUAAUAGCCGAAAUCAAUGGAUUGGCCGACUGAAUGAAUUACAUAUCUCGUUUUUAUUUCAAGAAAUAUUUUUUAAUGUUAUAUAUAAUAUGUUUUUAAACACCUUCCUGCUGGCACAAUUUAACAAGUUUUGCCACGCGUUUCAACACGUUUCCCGAACAGUUAAGCUGUUUUUGUUAUAUUCGUCUCAUACCGAUUUGAAAGAGAUUUUAAAUUAUGUACGAAAUUUUAUGCAAAUGUAAAUGUAGCUUAAAACGUAAAGAAUUCUCAAUUGACUUUGGUUUACGAAAGUACAACACAUUUUUAUCGUUAAAACUCAGUUUAAAGCUACAUAAAUCAUACGUGUGUAAAUGUAGCAAACCGCAAAUUUUAUAAUAAUACAAUUUAAAUGUUGCCUAUUUGUUUUUCUGAAAGUUGAUUAAACGAGUUAGUUAGAGUUUUUUGUAGAAAACCUAACUGAAUAAAGGGAUUUUAAUUUUA